rnacentral:rRNA from 1 species
AUUGAACGCUGGCGGCAUGCUUUACACAUGCAAGUCGAACGGCAGCGCGGGCUUCGGCCUGGCGGCGAGUGGCGAACGGGUGAGUAAUGCAUCGGAACGUGCCCAGUAGUGGGGGAUAGCCCGGCGAAAGCCGGAUUAAUACCGCAUACGACCUGAGGGUGAAAGCGGGGGACCAAAGGGCCCCGCGCAUUGGAGGGGGCCGAUGUCGGAUUAGCUAGUUGGUGGGGUAAAGGCUUACCAAGGCGACGAUCCGUAGCUGGUCUGAGAGGACGACCAGCCACACUGGGACUGAGACACGGCCCAGACUCCUACGGGAGGCAGCAGUGGGGAAUUUUGGACAAUGGGGGCAACCCUGAUCCAGCCAUGCCGCGUGCGGGAAGAAGGCCUUCGGGUUGUAAACCGCUUUUGUUCGGGAAGAAAUCCUCUGGGCUAAUACCCCGGGGGGAUGACGGUACCGGAAGAAUAAGCACCGGCUAACUACGUG